CAUAUAUUAUUAAUAUUCCCUUAAAAACCAUCUCGUGAAAUGUGACAACUUAGCCUCCUGCAAUGUUAGUAAACAAACGAGAUGAUGGCACGCAUAGAUAAGCAUCAAGGCAUCUCUAUCUUUAUUUCUUACUCUGAGAUGCAAACGAGUAAAUGUCGAACGUGUGUGGAUCGAUGUGAGGAAAACGAGGAGCCAAUAUCGAUUUGCUUUGUGAAGGGAUUUGUUUGUUGUCCGAAACUUGGAAAGUAAGCGAGCAAAAAUAAAAAUGUUCCUAUCUUGUACUGUUCUUUGAUAACCUACGCGAAUAAAUAAACUUCUGCAUAAUA